AGAUAUGUUUGUAAUAUUUGGUGG
rnacentral:miRNA from 1 species